UAGGCUGCAACUCGCCUACACGAAGUUGGAAUUGCUAGUAAUCGUGGAUCAGCAUGCCACGGUGAAUACGUUCCCGGGUCUUGUACACACCGCCCGUCACACCAUGGGAGCUGGUAACACCCGAAGUCAGUAGUCUAACCGCAAGGAGGACGCUGCCGAAGGCGGGGCCGGUAACUGGGGUGAAGUCGUAACAAGGUAAC
rnacentral:rRNA from 1 species